rnacentral:siRNA from 1 species
ACGAUGAUAUUCAUCCCGGGUAC